rnacentral:pre_miRNA from 1 species
CCCCGAGACUGGGACGAGAAGGGACGGACAAACACAAAGGCUCAAAAGAGACUUUGUGCUUGUCCGUCCCUUCUCGUUCCAGCCUCGGGGUU